rnacentral:lncRNA from 1 species
GGCUCCUUGGGAUAGAUGGGGAAGCUGAGGCCCAGAAGGGGGCUGAGACCACCUCCCAGUUUCCCCAGUGAGGUGGCGCCUGAGCCACGGCCAGGCCCGGCCUCCUUCCACCCGGCCCUGCUGUGCGCGCGGCGGGUGCUGACCUGGCGAGGCCGGACAGGGGACCAGGUCGGGGUGACCGUCACUGACACCUGGACAGUCCUCGUUGUGUUCGGGGUGGGAAGCCCACGGGGAAGAGUGUAUCACAGCCAUUGGGAACUUUCUUCACCCAUCAAAGCCUCAGGGCUGAAGCAUCCUGAACAAGAACUCAGGAGAGUGAAAGAAACAGUUACCUGUCGGCUGCAGCUGGUACCAGCUCCCCACCCCGUACAGAGACCGAAGCGUCCUCUCUCUCCCCAUCACCCAGCACCAGACUCUGCCCCGCGACCUCAGCCUGCACCUGCUUCCUGGCUCCAUCCAGCCUUCCAGCCUCACUAGAUCAUCAUGGGCCACUGGCCAACACACAGGGCAGUGCCGAGCCCAGGCCGUGGUCACACAUGGCUGGGUUAGUAGCUGAAAACAUUGUUUUUCACUGGCCUCACAGUAAUGGCACCUGCCCCCAUUUUCUGUGAUUGAAUUUUUGGAUCCUGCUACCAGGUUAUGAUAGAUUUUAUGGUAUGUCUCAAGAUAUUGAGAUAAAGGUAAUAAAACAGCUAUAAAGUCAAAAAAA